CCGUGCUAGAUGGGGAGGUAGCGGUGCCCUGUAGCUCGCAAUCCGCUGUAGCGAGGUUGAAUCCCUACCUGAGGUUAUGUCGAUGUGGGGCUGGUGUCCAUGAACAGUGUUGACGGCUGGGUCCUCCGCAAUGGACGCCUGUGAACGGGUCAGGUCCGGAAGGAAGCAGCCAUAAGCAGGUCCGCCCAUGUGCCGGAGGAGUGCUUGGCCUGAGCUGGGAGUGGAAGUGCCGCUCAUGUCGCAUCAAUCGAGGGUAGGUGCACGG
rnacentral:SRP_RNA from 1 species